GUGGGGGGCCAAUUUUUCUCAUUUCAGAUUUCAGAAAUUAAAAAGAAUUAUUCUUCAAAUAUUAUUUUUUUUUCAAAUUUCAAAUAUUGAAAAAUUUCAAGAAGUAAUCUUUAAUUGCACAGUAUGGCGCAUUAGAUUUGUAAAAUCUUUGAUCACAUUUAUUUAUUUGUUAUGCCGAAUCUAACAGUGUAUUUAGAUUUUUAAUUUUGGGUCCAGUUUUCAAAUUGGUCUACAUUAAUGUCCAAAGGGUCCAAAAUUAAACUUUGUUUGAUUUUAGCAAAAAUUGAAUAUAUGAGGUUCUUUGAUAUGCUGAAUCUAAACAUGUAUUUAGAUUUUUGAUUUUUGGCCCAGUUUUCAAGUUGGUCCAAAUUGGGGUCCAAAAUUAAACUUUGUUUGAUUUCAACAAAAAUUGAAUAUAUGGGGUUCUUUGAUAUGCUGAAUCUAACCAUGUAUUUAGAUUUUUUAUUUGUGGACCCCGUUAUCUAAUUGGUUCAUAUUGAGGUCAAAAGGGUCCAAAAUUAAACUUUGUUUGAUUUCAUCUAAAAUUGAAUUAUUGGGGUUCUUUGAUAUUCCAAAUCUAACCGUGUAUUGAGGUUUUUAAUUUUGGGUCCUGUUUUUUAAAUUGGUCUACAUUGAGGUCCAAAGGGUCCAAAAUUAAACUUAGUUUGAUUUUGACAAAAAUUUAAUUCUUGGGGUUCUUUGAUUUGCUGAAUCUAAACUUGUGUUUAGAUUUUUGAUUAUGGGCCCAGUUUUCAAGUUGGUCGAAGAUAGGGUCCAGUAUUUAAACUUUGUUUGAUUUCAACAAAAAUUGAAUAUAUGGGGUUCUUUGAUAUGCUGAAUCUAAACAUGUAUUUAGAUUUUUGAUUAUGGGCCCAGUUUUCAAGUUGGUCCAAAUUGGGGUCCAAAAUUAAACUUUGUUUGAUUUCAACAAAAAUUGAAUAUAUGAGGUUCUUUGAUAUGCUGAAUCUAACCAUGUAUUUAGAUUUUUUAUUUGUAGGCCCCCCUAUCAAAUUGGUUCAUAUUGAGGUCAAAAGGGUCCAAAAUUAAACUUUGUUUGAUUUCAUCGAAAAUUGAAUUAUUGGGGUUCUUUGAUAUGCCAAAUCUAACCGUGUUUUUAGAUUUUUAAUUUGGGUUCCGUUUUUUAAAUUGGUCUUCAUUGAGGUCCAAAGGGUCCAAAAUUAAACUUAGUUUGAUUUUAACAAAAAUUGAAUUCUUGGGGUUCUUUGAUAUGCUGAAUCUAAACAUGUGUUUAGAUUUUUGAUUAUGGGCCCAGUUUUCAAGUUGGUCCAAGUUGGGGUCCAAAAUUAAACUUUGUUUGAUUUCAACAAAAAUUGAAUAUAUGGGGUUCUUUGAUAUGCUGAAUCUAAACAUGUAUUUAGAUUUUAGAUUUUUGGCCCAGUUUUCAAGUUGGUCCAAAUUGGGGUCCAAAAUUAAACUUUGUUUGAUUUCAACAAAAAUUGAAUAUAUGGGGUUCUUUGAUAUGCUGAAUCUUACCAUGUAUUUAGAUUUUUUAUUUGUGGGCCCGCUAUCAAAUUGGUUCAUAUUGAGGUCAAAAGGGUCCAAAAUUAAACUUUGUUUGAUUUCAUCAAAAAUUUAAUUAUUGGGGUUCUUUGAUAUGCCAAAUCUAACUGUGUAUUUAGAUUUUUAAUUUUGGGUCCCGUUUUUUAAAUUGGUCUACCUUAAGGUCCAAAGGGUCCAAAAUUAAACUUAGUUUGAUUUUAACAAAAAUUGAAUUUUUGGGGUUCUUUGAUAUGCUGAAUCUAAACAUGUGUUUAGAUUUUUGAUUAUGGGACCAGUUUUCAAGUUGGUCCAAGUUGGGGUCCAAAAUUAAACUUUGUUUGAUUUCAACAAAAAUUGAAUAUAUGGGGUUCUUUGAUAUGCUGAAUCUAAACAUGUAUUUAGAUUUUAGAUUUUUGGCCCAGUUUUCAAGUUGGUCCAAAUUGGGGUCCAAAAUUAAACUUUGUUUGAUUUCAACAAAAAUUAAAUAUAUGGGGUUCUUUGAUAUGCUGAAUCUUACCAUGUAUUUAGAUUUUUUAUUUUGUGGGCCCGCUAUCAAAUUGGUUCAUAUUGAGGUCAAAAGGGUCCAAAAUUAAACUUUGUUUGAUUUCAUCAAAAAUUGAAUUAUUGGGGUUCUUUGAUAUGCCAAAUCUAACCGUGUUUUUAGAUUUUUAAUUUUGGGUCCCGUUUUUUAAAUUGGUCUACAUUAAGGUCCAAAGGGUCCAAAAUUAAACUUAGUUUGAUUUUAACAAAAAUUGAAUUCUUGGGGUACUUUGAUAUGCUGAAUCUAAACAUGUGUUUAGAUUUUUGAUUAUGGGACCAGUUUUCAAGUUUGUCCAAGUUGGGGUCCAAAAUUAAACUUUGUUUGAUUUCAACAAAAAUUGAAUAUAUGGGGUUCUUUGAUAUGCUGAAUCUAACCAUGUAUUUUGAUUUUGGGCAUUGGACCAUAAUAGGUAAAUUAAAAAAAUUGAAGUUCUUAGACCACAUUCUUUCUGUGUCAGAAACCUAUGCUGUGUCAAAUAUUUAAUCACAAUCCAAAUUCAGAGCUGUAUCAAGCUUGAAUGUUGUGUCCAUACUUGCCCCAACUGUUCAGGGUUCGACCUCUGCGGUCGUAUCAAGCUGCGCCCAGCGAAGCAUUUUAUUGAUUAUGGGCCCAGUUUUCAAGUUGGUCCAAGUUGGGGUCCAAAAUUAAACUUUGUUUGAUUUCAACAAAAAUUGAAAAUAUGGGGUUCUUUGAUAUGCUGAAUCUAACCAUGUAUUUUGAUUUUGGACAUUGGACCAUAAUAGGUAAAUUAAAAAAAUUCAAGUUCUUAGACCACAUUCUUUCUGUGUCAGAAACCUAUGCUGUGUCAAAUAUCUAAUAACAAUCCAAAUUCAGAGCUGUAUCAAGCUUGAAUGUUGUGUCCAUACUUGCCCCAACUGUUCAGGGUUCGACCUCUGCGGUCGUAUCAAGCUGCGCCCCAGCGAAGCAUUUUAUUCUAGUUUCAUGACAAUAACUUGUGUGUUAGUGUAUGGAUCUCUCUGACAUUGUAUCACAAGGUUCCAUAUCACAAAGGGAAUGCUGGGAUUGAUUUUAGGGGUAAUUGCCUUCAAAUUUUAGGAAUUAGGGGCCAAAAAGGGGCAAAAAACAAGCAUUUUUCUAGUUUCAUGACAAUAACUUGUAUGUAAGUGUAUGGAUCUUUAUGAAAUUGUACUACAAGGUUCCAUAUCACAAAGGGAAAGCUGGGUUUGAGUUUGGGGGUAUUUGCCCUAAAUGUUUAGGAAAUUGGGGCCAAAAAGGGGCCAAAAAACAAGCAUUUUUCUCGUUUCCAGACAAUAACUUGUGUUCAAGUGUAUGGAUCUCUCUGAAAUUGUACUGCAAGGUACCAUACCACAAAGAGAAGGCUGGGAUUGAGUUUGGGGGUGAUGAA